rnacentral:rRNA from 1 species
GACGAACGCUGGCGGCGUGCUUAACACAUGCAAGUCGAACGGAAAGGCCCUGCUUUUGUGGGGUGCUCGAGUGGCGAACGGGUGAGUAACACGUGAGUAACCUGCCCUUGACUUUGGGAUAACUUCAGGAAACUGGGGCUAAUACCGGAUAGGAGCUCCUGCUGCAUGGUGGGGGUUGGAAAGUUUCGGCGGUUGGGGAUGGACUCGCGGCUUAUCAGCUUGUUGGUGGGGUAGUGGCUUACCAAGGCUUUGACGGGUAGCCGGCCUGAGAGGGUGACCGGCCACAUUGGGACUAAGAUACGGCCCAGACUCCUACGGGAGACAGCAGUGGGGAAUAAUACACAAUGGGCGGAAGCCUGAUGCAGCAACGCCGCGUGCGGGAUGACGGCCUUCGUGUUGUAAACCGCUUUCGCCUGUGACGAAGCGUGAGUGACGGUAAUGGGUAAAGAAGCACCGGCUAACUACGUG